UUGAAUAAACCUGAUGUAGUUGUAGCUGGCUCUCUCGGGAGCAUGUGCUCGCUCGUCAUCUUUAUAUUUCCACCUGUGCACCUUUUGUAGACCCAGGCGACUUGAGCAAUCAAGUCAUUUGGGCCUAUGUUUUAUCAUAUACCCCAUAAGUAUGUAUCAGAAUGUAUCAAUGGGCUUCGUGCCUAUAAACACUAUA
rnacentral:misc_RNA from 1 species